GACGAACGCUGGCAGCGUGCCUAAUACAUGCAAGUAGAACGCUGAAGAGAGGAGCUUGCUCUUCUUGGAUGAGUUGCGAACGGGUGAGUAACGCGUAGGUAACCUGCCUUGUAGCGGGGGAUAACUAUUGGAAACGAUAGCUAAUACCGCAUAACAAUGGAUGACACAUGUCAUUUAUUUGAAAGGGGCAAUUGCUCCACUACAAGAUGGACCUGCGUUGUAUUAGCUAGUAGGUGAGGUAAUGGCUCACCUAGGCGACGAUACAUAGCCGACCUGAGAGGGUGAUCGGCCACACUGGGACUGAGACACGGCCCAGACUCCUACGGGAGGCAGCAGUAGGGAAUCUUCGGCAAUGGGGGCAACCCUGACCGAGCAACGCCGCGUGAGUGAAGAAGGUUUUCGGAUCGUAAAGCUCUGUUGUAAGUCAAGAACGGGUGUGAGAGUGGAAAGUUCACACUGUGACGGUAGCUUACCAGAAAGGGACGGCUAACUACGUGCCAGCAGCCGCGGUAAUACGUAGGUCCCGAGCGUUGUCCGGAUUUAUUGGGCGUAAAGCGAGCGCAGGCGGUUUGAUAAGUCUGAAGUUAAAGGCUGUGGCUCAACCAUAGUUCGCUUUGGAAACUGUCAAACUUGAGUGCAGAAGGGGAGAGUGGAAUUCCAUGUGUAGCGGUGAAAUGCGUAGAUAUAUGGAGGAACACCGGUGGCGAAAGCGGCUCUCUGGUCUGUAACUGACGCUGAGGCUCGAAAGCGUGGGGAGCGAACAGGAUUAGAUACCCUGGUAGUCCACGCCGUAAACGAUGGGUGCUAGGUGUUGGAUCCUUUCCGGGAUUCAGUGCCGCAGCUAACGCAUUAAGCACUCCGCCUGGGGAGUACGACCGCAAGGUUGAAACUCAAAGGAAUUGACGGGGGCCCGCACAAGCGGUGGAGCAUGUGGUUUAAUUCGAAGCAACGCGAAGAACCUUACCAGGUCUUGACAUCCCGAUGCUAUUUCUAGAGAUAGAAAGUUACUUCGGUACAUCGGUGACAGGUGGUGCAUGGUUGUCGUCAGCUCGUGUCGUGAGAUGUUGGGUUAAGUCCCGCAACGAGCGCAACCCCUAUUGUUAGUUGCCAUCAUUCAGUUGGGCACUCUAGCGAGACUGCCGGUAAUAAACCGGAGGAAGGUGGGGAUGACGUCAAAUCAUCAUGCCCCUUAUGACCUGGGCUACACACGUGCUACAAUGGUUGGUACAACGAGUUGCGAGUCGGUGACGGCGAGCUAAUCUCUUAAAGCCAAUCUCAGUUCGGAUUGUAGGCUGCAACUCGCCUACAUGAAGUCGGAAUCGCUAGUAAUCGCGGAUCAGCACGCCGCGGUGAAUACGUUCCCGGGCCU
rnacentral:rRNA from 1 species